GCACUAGCACCUCAGUUUCUUACUUUACUCCUUUUCUUCUUUAUGGUAAUUAAUUCAAUUAAAUACUUGAUUUUUGCUAGUUUGAAUUGAUGCCACAUUAAGGAUAAUUUCUACUUAUAGUUAACACUUAACUGUGUGAUUUAGAGAAAACAAUGUUUUUUUCGUCAACUUUAAAUAUUUAUUAUGUUAUUUGCUUCCUAUAAUUUUUCCUUAAUGUGGUAAUAUACUAUGUAUCAGUAAUGGGAGGGUGUAGGAAGAGUUUGGUGGGUUUGUAUAGUAAUUAGAAGCAAAUAGAAUUUAAAUAAUAGUUUAGAUCAUUUAAAUAAUUAAAUUAGUUAGUAAAUAAGAAAAAUAUAAGAAAUCAGAUUUAGUAUAGUAAUAAGGGGUAUUUUGGUGAAUAGGAGAAUAAGUGAGGACAUUGUGGAGAUAACAAAUUAAAAAGAUAUUAGGUUUCUAAUAAAAAAGGAUAAGUAGACAGUUUUUGGAUUUAGAACGUGAAGACAUAAGUUUUGGAGAAAGAGGCAAAGGUGUGAAGAAGAAGUCUAUGACUCAAGGAGGGAAGAACCAAACUUGAUUAGGGAGAUUACUUGCUGGAAAUCUAAGGUAAGGGGGGAGAAUAACCUUCAAUAAAGGCUUAUGCGUGAGGGGUAGGUAGAGAAGUCCUUAACCUCCUAUAGAGUUUGUUCUUCCUUUGAGUUAUGAUGAAUGUUGAUGAAAAUUUGAUGAUAAUUAUAUUUUUACAUGCCAUGAUGUGAAUUACAAUUGUGUGUGUUGACAUGUUGUUGUGUUCUUGAAAUCAAUUGAAUCCAUGAAAAUUGAUAUGAAAUUGAAUGAUUUGGUGCAUGAAUCUAAGUGUUUAAUUCAUGAGAAAAAGGGAAAGAUUGAUGAUAAUUAUUGUGAUAUAUGUAUUGGCAUUGUUAGAAAAUAUAUGGGGAUGUUUUUGAAUGAACAAAAUUGGAACUGGUUGGAUGGUUGAAGUUAGAAAUUGGGAGAAAAUCACGUAACAGAGAAAACUGGAAUUUUUGAAAAAAACUACAGUAACAAUCGAUUGUAUUAGUUGAAAAUUUUGAAAACAAAUAAUAGUGCAAUCGAUUGCACCAGAUGACAAUUGAUUACCUAUCACAGAAAAGUGAUUUUUUACGUAGUCAGUAGCGAAAUUGUUUUAGUGACAAUCGAUUGCACCAGGCCAAAUAGUGAAAAAUUAUGUUUUUGUUUUGUUGCGUUGUCCGACAAUUUUGGCUGUAUCUUUUGAUUCGUAGGUCCAAAUAACGUGUCGUUUGAAGCGUUAGAAAGCUAAUGUACAUAGAUACCUCAUGGUAGUACUUGGUGAAAUAUUUGAGUUAUAGUCAUUUAUAUACUGUAUGGAUUUUUGUGAUGGUUUGUAUGAUCGAUUAGCGAAUUAUUAUGUCUAUAUGAUGAUGUGUUAUGGUUUUGGUGAAGUAACAUGAAUAAAUGAUAUGAUGAAUUUGCUCAUGAAUUGUGAGUAUGAGUUGAUAAAUUAUACAUGUUAAGGUGUGUAUUAUUGAGUUAAAGGUGAGUUACUCUUUAUGACAUUCCAAACAACUUUCAUGUUGGCAUCAAGAGCUAGUUUUGCUUGGAAAGUCAUUUUUUAUGGUGAAAGAUUAUAGGUCAUUUUGUAUGUGCCCUAGUUAGGAGGUCAACUUCCAAGGACCAUAACUUGCUCAAUCUUUAUGAUAUGAAGUCCAUCCAAGUUUCAUGAUCAAUUUCAAGAUGUAUUCUCCAACUUUGAUUCUUUGAGAAAUAUCAAAUUCAACUUGCAAGGGCAUGGGCCAAGAGGAAACAUUAUAGGUCAUUUUGAGCCAUCAUCAUUGAACAAGCAAUUUUUCUCAACUUCUUAAAUGCAUAACUCCCUCAUGACAAAUCCAAAUAAGGUCAAAUUUGUGACCAAGUUAAAGAGGGAUGAAAGAGCUACAACUUUGAUGAAGGAACAUUUUCCAUUUGAAGCUCAUAGCAAAAGUUAUUCAAGAUGGAAGAAGUGGAUAUUUGACUUAGUACUUAGAAAAUUUUCAAUUAUGUUUGAUUUCUCAAACUUCCACCUCAAAAUUCAUCAUGAUCCAAGCUUCAAAUGGAAAAGUGUUUAACAUGAAAGUUGUUCCCAUUGAUGUCAUCUUUCCAAAACGUCCAAGAUCACCUCAUUUGGACCAAGAUUGGAGGACUUGUGCAUGGGUGUAAUACAUGGCCCCAUUUGUAUAGAUUUGUGAUCAAUUUUCAUUUCAACAUUGCAUGGUCCCUUGUUAAAGUUGUAGUAUCAUUUGAAAAGGAAUUUGGACCUAUUUACAUCAUUUCAUGGGCCUAUCACACGCCCAUGCAAGCAUGCACAUCACAUUACUAUUUUUGGCCAAAGUUUGGAAGUGUGUGGAAAGCAAUGAACAUGACUAUAAAUACAGCUCCCUUGAGCUCAGAAUGAGGAUCCUUUUGCCCAAGCUUCGACCUGCUUCUUCCCCAAACCCCAUUGAAAGAAUAAUCUUGAAGAUUUCUUUAGAAAUCGAGUUUCAAUUCUCAUUCUAUUUUGAAAUUGAAACUCCAAGAGUCCAAGCCUUUUAAUCAUCAAUAUCAUCUCCUGCAAGUAUAUAGAAGCAAGCCAAGCCAAAUUGAAAGGAAGAUCAAGCUCAAUUGAAGCAAACUGAAGGUGAAUUUUCAUAUUUUUCUCUUCUUCGAUUCUCCCUCAAUUCUCCAUCAUUUUGCUUGAUCUUUGGUUGUCUGAAGACCUACCAACGCAGGCAACAAGAUUGAGCUGCUUUGAGGUCAAAUCGAAGCAACUCAGUUCAUACUCCUCAAUUUUCAAUUCCACAUAUCUUUUAAUAUAGUGAGAAUUGGAGAAUUUUGAGGGCAAAUUUGGACUCCUGACGUUUUUCUCUUCAAAUUAGUGUAUGCAUUUUUUAUUUUAGUGAAGGUUGAUGGUGGACCAGUCCGGUGAGGUCCACCAGAGAAGAUGACCGGAGUCCUAGCUCCGGUGGUGUGUUGGCAUCCUUUCAUCCCUUUGAUCAUGUUUAAACGAUUUAAUCCUGGCCUUUGGUUUGCAUGACCAUGUUUGCAGCGCGUUUGAAUAGUGUGUUUGGUGGACACCACACACGUGGCCAUCAGAUUUGCCACCUCAACUAAUGAGGGAGCUCUGAUGGCCCUUGAUUUUUUUUGUAUUUUUUGAUUUUCUUUUAAUUUCUAUUAUUUUAUUUAAUUCAUAAUAAAUCCAUUUUUAAUCCAAAAA
rnacentral:lncRNA from 1 species